rnacentral:rRNA from 1 species
ACCGUGCGAAGGUAGCGUAAUCACUUGUUCUCUAAAUAAGGACUAGUAUGAAUGGCACCACGAGGGUUACACUGUCUCCUUUUUCCAAUCAAUGAAACUGAUCUGCCCGUGAAGAAGCGAGCAUAAAAAUAUAAGACGAGAAGACCCUAUGGAGCUUUAAACUACAAUAGCAUGGGCUAUCCACUACAUGUUUCAGAACCACAACAUCCAACUUAGCCUCAAUGACUAUUAGUUUUAGGUUGGGGUGACCGCGGAGUAAAAAUUAACCUCCAUGUUGAAAGGACUACGUCCUGAGCUUAGAGCUACACCUCCAAGCACCAAUAAACUGACAUCCAUUGACCCAACAUAUUGAUCAACGAACCAAGUUACCCUAGGGAUAACAGCGCAAUCCACUUCAAGAGCCCCUAUCGACAAGUGGGUUUACGACCUCGAUGUUGGAUCAGGGCAUCCCAGUGGUGCAGCCGCUACUAAUGGUUCGUUUGUUCAACGAUUAAAACCCU